GGUCCCGUAGCUCAGGUGGAUAGAGCGGCCGCCUCCUAAGCGGCAGGCCACAGGUUCGAAUCCUGUCGGGACCACCA
rnacentral:tRNA from 1 species